GCCAGACUCCUACGGGAGGCAGCAGUGGGGGAUAUUGCACAAUGGGGGAAACCCUGAUGCAGCGACGCCGCGUGAGUGAAGAAGUAUUUCGGUAUGUAAAGCUCUAUCAGCAGGGACGAAAAUGACGGUACCUGGGUAAGAAGCCCCGGCUAACUACGUGCCAGCAGCCGCGGUAAUACGUAGGGGGCAAGCGUUAUCCGGAUUUACUGGGUGUAAAGGGAGCGUAGACGGUUAUGCAAGUCUGGAGUGAAAGGCGGGGGCUCAACCCCCGGACUGCUCUGGAAACUGUGCAGCUAGAGUGCAGGAGAGGUAAGCGGAAUUCCUGGUGAAGCGGUGAAAUGCGUAGAUAUCAGGAGGAACACCGGCGGCGAAGGCGGCUUACUGGACUGUAACUGACGUUGAGGCUCGAAGGCGUGGGGAGCAAACAGGAUUAGAUACCCCAGUACG
rnacentral:rRNA from 1 species